UUCCAAGCAUAAUGUCAACUGGUUAUAUUAGAAUUCUUAAAAUCAUUUUUUUCAAUUUCAUGCUUCCCUAACUCAUUCGCACCACAGUAAUCCCCCAAUUAAUAGAAUCAAGAACAUAAACCCAAGGACAUAAAUUGUUAAGCUACUUCUAAAUCUUCAACUAUCUCUCUAAUCAGAGAUUAAUAAUAGGUACAAUAAAAUCUAAGCAAUAAAAUAAC
rnacentral:lncRNA from 1 species